rnacentral:rRNA from 1 species
UAGGGAAUCUUCGGCAAUGGACGAAAGUCUGACCGAGCAACGCCGCGUGAGUGAAGAAGGUUUUCGGAUCGUAAAACUCUGUUGUUAGAGAAGAACAAGGACGUUAGUAACUGAACGUCCCCUGACGGUAUCUAACCAGAAAGCCACGGCUAACUACGUGCCAGCAGCCGCGGUAAUACGUAGGUGGCAAGCGUUGUCCGGAUUUAUUGGGCGUAAAGCGAGCGCAGGCGGUUUCUUAAGUCUGAUGUGAAAGCCCCCGGCUCAACCGGGGAGGGUCAUUGGAAACUGGGAGACUGGAGUGCAGAAGAGGAGAGUGGAAUUCCAUGUGUAGCGGUGAAAUGCGUGGAUAUAUGGAGGAACACCAGUGGCGAAGGCGGCUCUCUGGUCUGUAACUGACGCUGAGGCUCGAAAGCGUGGGGAGCAAACAGG